UUACGGCCAUAUCACGCCAACACACAGGUUCUUGUCCGAUCACCAAAGUUAAGCAACAUCGAGCCUGGUCAGUACCUAAAUGGGUGACCGUAUGGGAAUACCAGAUGCUGUAA